rnacentral:lncRNA from 1 species
GGCAGUUUAAAAUACAGGAAGUGACGUUUGACGACGAUGUAACGCUUUGGUUAAUAAACAACACUUUCGAAGAUGAUUUUGCAACGCUUUUGAACGUUAGCUAAUUCAAAUUAGCAGAGUGUUUUAUUUAUUUGUUUAGCUAACGCAUCAUAAAGAUUUAAAACAAUGUAGAAUGGGAAAACGGGUAUAUUUGUUUUGCUAUGAAGCGUCUGGUGCUAGCUAGCUAGCUUAUCACAACAACUGGAUGGCCUUUGUUUUUCAUGGGUGUUUUUCAGCCAGUGCUGACCAGCGAACUAGUCUUUUCGCCUGUCAACAUCCCUGGAUUUUCUAAAGAUGAAGAGAAAAGUGGCUCGAUUACGGUUAAGUCCAAAUGAAGAAGCGCAACUCAUUCGAGAUGAACACGAAAGGAGAAGGAAGCUGUGAAUAGAACAGGUGCGGGAACAGGAGCGGUAUAUCGCCCUGCAAAUCCGCACGGAGGUGCGGCAGCGACGGGAGCGCGAGCUGCAGAACCUGGCGCAGGAGUUGAAGGAGGAGUGGGAGCGACAACAGAGGGAGAAACAGGAGACCCUGCAAAAGUUAUAUCAGGACAAUCUCCGAGUUUUGGGAGAGGGACAUAGAAGUGCCAAAGAAAAUAAGCCUGACUGUGAGGCAAUUGCACAGAGAAAUUAGGGGAAUAACGUUCGGCAGAUGAGCGCUAUCGAGACGCCAUCAAACAGCUCAAAUCACAGAGACAGAAAGGAGGAGGAGCAAAAUCGUUUUAUUGAGGCUAGGAAGAAGGCCAUACAAGUGGAGAAGGAGAGGGCAGCAACUGUGGCCAACCUCCCAUCCCUUCCACCCAACCCAAUUGAGAAUAUUGAGUCAAGGAAGCUACCUGGAGUGAAGAAAUCGGACAGAGAUGCCUUCUCUGUGACCCACUAUCACAUGCCAGAGACUGCAGUGGACAGGGAAGUUGACAGUACAGCCAAAGGCAUGGGAGGUGGCAGAGGAGGAGGUGCGGCGCCUGCAGGAGCUAGAACGGGAGGAGCAGAGGGAGAGACGGGAGCAGCUGGAGAAAGCUCGUCUUAGGGGCAACCACGCGCUGAGGAGGGAACGGCUCACACAGGACCGAGAGUGCCUCCUGGUGGAGCUGGAACACAUGCAUCAGACAGACCUGUUGAGGCGCAGGCAGAUGAUGGCUCAGAUGCCUGCCCAGAUCUUCUAGCUGCUCUACAAGAGACAGGAGAUGAGGGAGGACUGGCAGAGGGACAUGGAGUUCACCUUUGAGGACAUGUACACUGGAGAGAGUAGUAAGGGUGGGGGGUCCAAAUCAGGAUGAAUUUUUCCGUGCUCUGCUCUGGCCCCGAGUACACAAUUUGUUGGUAUUGCCCUGGUGCAUAGAUAAGUUGUUUUACUUGAUUGAAAUGGAGAGAUUUACCCUAUCCUAGACAGUAGUGUGGACACAUCGUUAUGAGACCUAAUUACCAUUAGUACAUUGGCAUGGAGUUUCUCUAUUCAUCUAAUUAAACCUGUACUGCUCUUUUGCCUGCAGGAGUGAAAGGUGACCUGGUGCUGCAGCUGGUCCCAGAGCCUCUCCCAGCUGUGUCCACUGGCAGCCAGGAUGAACACCUAGACCUGACCCUGGAGGAGGCCACUCCUGACCUUACACCCUCGGCUGGGGCAGAGGAACAACCGGAUGAAGAACCAUCCAGGCCUCUAGGUGGUGCUCCCAGACAGGCCUUGAAGAAGCUACUGACCCGUGUCAGGUCACAGAGAGACCAGUGGAGCUACCGGAGGCUGGUUGACCCCACAUCUGACUGCCAAACUAUUCAGACAGCAGAGCGCGACACGACCUCAGAUGGUACGACCAUUGAGUCAGGCUUUCUGGCCAGCGAAAAGCAGGGCUGACCGUUGACCACUAGUCCCAGACUCCCUGACCCCUCUCAGCCAGCACAAGCUAUAGAGACAAUAGAGGACUCCAUAGUAGCUGGUACCCUGCUCCAUCCUGAUAAACAAGCCAUCAAGAUCCACACAUUUAAACUGAGAGGAAGAGAAGGGAGGAGGAGCUAGAGAGGCAGGAGCAGAUUGCCCUGCUACAGGAUUUAGGGGAGAAGAAGAGCAAGCUGGAGCUACUGCAGGAGGCCCAGGAAGAGAGGGAGCAGCUGCAGACGGCCAUGACCCAAGACACUGCUGCUGCAUCUGGAACACUGAAAACACCAGCCCAGGACGUCAGCCCUGCUGCUCCAUCUCCUGAGUCUACUAUACACUCAGCUGCUGAGGAUGACCACCCCAGGAGAAUCAGAGAGUAUCAGCAGCGUCUCUUAGACCAGAACAGGCUUCAUAAGCAGUCAGUGGAAGAGUCUCACCGGCGUCUGGAAGAGUACCAACACACGCUAAGAAACCGCUAUUCUGGUGUAACUACGGCAACAUGUCUCCCUCCUGGUACCACAGCCCGUCCUCUACCACACUUUAAAGGAGGAAUCAUUCCCCCGGUAGUGCCACUAGAACUCCCCUCUGGCUCCCCUGUCUCCCUGUAGCACUUAGUACCCACUCUAGAGCUCACACCCCUCUGGACCUCUCCACACGGGAGCCCUCCAUCUUGGCUCAAACUCUCUUCCUUCCUGGCGCAACAGUCUGCUCGCAUAUCAACUCCAGGGCCUCACCAGUGCAGCUCGAACCCACCGCUUAAAGCCUAAGAGACCAAAGAGCAGGUGUUUCUGCUUGGCUGGCGGACAAUGUGUUUAGUAGGGUCACAGAGGACCUCCCUGAGAAGCUACCUGGCACCUCUACCUCGUUGGACCCCCAGUCCUACAGACCACAUCCUGUUUCCCUCCACUCUACUCCACGCAUCCCACUCCCAUCAACAGCUGACUCCAUCCCAGCCAUUAGCCCAACCCUUUGAGAAGAGUCAGCUACUCUCCCUGGGGAGGCCCCGGUGAAGCCUGGGCCUGUCCUGUGGGCCUCAGCCAGGUCUGGGGAAGAGGUGGAGAGGCAGAGGCAGGAGAUACGUGAGGCCCAGAGGGAGCAGAGGGAAGAACGGAGAUGGCUGGAGGAAGAGCAGAGGAGGAGACAGAGGGAGGUGUUAGACACUGCUCACUGCUGACGACACACAGCUCUGCUCAGGGCCAUCGGAGUCCAAUGGGCAAACAUCAUCAUCUGUAGAAGCUAAUCAGAGCCAAGACAACACACUCAAUGUCCAGAGUUCACACCCAGACAGACCCGCCCCUCACCAACUUCCCCAACCACCACCCCCGAGCAGCCAAACCCCUGGUGGCCUGCGCCAGGCUGGUCGUCAUGGUGAUGACAGAGCAGCAUGAGCUCAGGCCUGAUCACAGGUCCAGAAGUGAGUGUGAGGCUGUCUCGUAUUGAAAGGGCAUUUCCAGAAGAACAGGACCCCUUGGCCCACUCUGAGAGAGGUCACUCCAGCACCUCUGUGUUCAGUGCAGGGGAACACACAGCUGGGAGUGAGACAUUAACCAGGUCUGGUAGAUCCAGCAAGCUAUCCUGGAGAGAGAGAGAUUACAGCUGGAGGCUGGUGCCUCUCCUGAACCUGUUUUGUCCAGUUGGAGAUCCUGUCCUUCCAGUCAGCCGGUAGACCCUCAGAACCAGACUACCUGUCUUCCACCACCAUCUCUUCUGGCAGCUUCGCCACCACUGACCCUGAACACACCUCCACCAAAAGUGUGUGUGUGUGUGACUUGUUUAUAAGCCUAAUCAAUUGAGUAUCUAUCCAGGCCAGUCAUGUCAGAAAUUCUAUGUGAUAAAUGAUAGUUGCAUUUAAAAUGGAGAAAUCUAAUCCUCUGUUUUAUUCCCCACCCCCAUAAGACUCUUCCCUGCUCUUGGCUGGGUUUAGAAGAGGGAAGAAAUCAUCGGUCAAUGGCUCCUCUUCAUGAAGACACAGUUCCUGUAGAGACGUAUCUGGUCCUGGGUCUCCCAUCUCAGACUCACUCCUACACAGCAGCAGUAUCCAGCGCAUCAUAGACAAAUACACCCGGGAGCUCAACCUCUCUCUCAGUUCUGCUGGGAACCAGAUGGGAGCUGAUGGGUCUAACUCCCUAGGCUGGGUGGAUCUGAGAGGCUCAGGCCAGACAGGAGUGUCAUCUGACCCAGAGGGAGCCCCUGAAGCCCAUUCAUUGAGCAGCUCCUUUCUCCCUGGACUGGAACUUCUGCCACACUACCAGUGCCUGCAACGCUCUGGCACCAGCUCCCAGGAAGCAGACAGGACUGGGGCCUCCGACUCCUUCCACCCCCUCCUGGCUGAAGUCACACACAACAAGACAGCUGAACCCUCCAUGACCUUUCACCUUCCAGAAGAGGAAGUGGAGGGGCUAUGUUCCCACGAAGAAGAAAGUGACCAUGAAGAACCUGCAGGGGACCUUGAACUCUCUGCAUGCUCAGAGCAGAGGUGGGGGGGUCUGGCAGCAUGUUCCCUCUCUCUGUGAAGAUGUCCCCACUUUGGACAAGCCACUUGAAGGCGGGGACACUGAUAUGGAGAGCACACCAGCACCUCAGACAGUUGACCAAUGAGGUGCUAUUACCAUUAAGGACCUGGGUGCAGGAGAGCCGGAUGCCCAGCUAUGUUC